rnacentral:lncRNA from 1 species
ACGUUAUCCGAGUCACGGCACAAAGAAACUGUUGUAGAAAUCAACGAGAGCAAACGAAAAUCAAGGCAAAGCUGCAGCUUUAUUCUUUACUAGUGCACUAGGGCAACCAUGCCAUUAAUCAAAAGCAAUGGAGACACACGAUUUGGUUAUCAAAACAAAGCUUAUAUAGGGUAAUACAAAAUGAGCAAAUUAUAAUAGGCGCGAUCAAGCAUACAUAUUCAUACUUUUGACCAAUUACAUUAAAAAAUAUAAAGAAAGCAUAAUAUUACUAACUGGAUACAGUAGGGCCUCAAAUAAGCUGAUAACAAGACAAGCUAGAACAAAGAGCUUUCUCUACUUCAAGGCUUCAAGGCUAACUUCUGCUGCUACUAAAUUCAUCUUAUCUAUUAGUUCCCAGCACUUCAUGCUUAGCUGUGUAUUUAAGUAAAAUCAGCUUAAUUUUGUUGAAAUAUGAUUGUGAUUUGUGGAUGAUCCUUGUGUCAGAGUCACAAGCACAUAAAAUGUGAAAUGAUUGGAUUAUAAAUGUAUCAGGUACAUUACAAAUGUUUCUGAAGAAAUAUUUUACAAGCCAUAUUNUUCCUCUUUGAACGAAUACACAUUUGUGNUUUUUUUUAUAGUGCUGCCCAUAUUUCUUUUACAGUUAUGUGUACAUUUGGAACUAAAAAAAACAUCCUUCACUGUUCAGUCCAAUUUUCCCCUUGUAUUUUUAAAUGAAUUUAUCGGUGAAUUAAUGUUCAGUCAGUUCUAUUUAAUAAAGUUUUACAGUGUUUGACUUCAGUUUAAUUAUUUGACUUUCUGUGUNUUACCUUUUCUUUUUUAGACCUUUAGAAUUUUCUACCACUUAAAAAAAAAGCUACAAAGCCUCAUUCUUUCAUAUUCUUUUGCCAGUUCUUUGCUCUUCAGGUUGGAACUUAGCUGUUAAGGUCAACCGGAGAAGCUCAGAGCAAGCUCUGGUUGAAGGCAUCUCCUCUCCUGAUCUGGCUGGGCGCAUGNCAGCAGUGUUUACUUCAAACACACACAACUAGAAAAAUCAACUAGAGAGUCAGGUUCGAGAUCUAGAAUCUGAGCUGGGCAGGCUAAAAAUCAGUCAACAAAAUAUAGUCUUCCAGAAAGAUUCUGUGAACACAGAAUUAGAAAAAUAUAAGGGNUUGUAUUUAGAAGAAUUAAAAAGGAGAAAAGCAUUGGGAAGCAAGCUGGUUCGGGAACACGCAUGCGCAGGCAAACAGUGUAGAUGCGUCCUGUGAUCUCCCCAACCUGAAGAAUUAAAACUAUAGAAAUAUAACAGAAAGUGUGAUCGUUGGAGUUGAAAAAAGCUCCCAAAACAGUUCCCUCCGGAAGGGUGAACUAUCCAUCNUUCUUUGGACUUUUGGAAAAAGGAUUAUAUUGGAUUUGAUUUUUACCAAAAGAGAAG